rnacentral:piRNA from 1 species
UUGCAAAAGGUAAUAUGCUAGUGUGUUC